rnacentral:rRNA from 1 species
UACAGAGGUCCCAAGCGUUGUUCGGAUUCACUGGGCGUAAAGGGUGCGUAGGCGGUCGGGUAAGUCUGAUGUGAAAUCUCACAGCUUAACUGUGAAACUGCAUUGGAUACUAUCCGGCUAGAGGAAUGGAGGGGAGACUGGAAUACUUGGUGUAGCAGUGAAAUGCGUGGAUAUCAAGUGGAACACCAGUGGCGAAGGCGAGUCUCUGGACAUUUCCUGACGCUGAGGCACGAAAGCCAGGGGAGCAAACGGG